rnacentral:rRNA from 1 species
AGUGAACGCUGGCGGUAGGCCUAACACAUGCAAGUCGAACGGCAGCACAGUAAGAGCUUGCUCUUACGGGUGGCGAGUGGCGGACGGGUGAGGAAUACAUCGGAAUCUACUUUUUCGUGGGGGAUAACGUAGGGAAACUUACGCUAAUACCGCAUACGACCUACGGGUGAAAGCAGGGGAUCUUCGGACCUUGCGCGAUUGAAUGAGCCGAUGUCGGAUUAGCUAGUUGGCGGGGUAAAGGCCCACCAAGGCGACGAUCCGUAGCUGGUCUGAGAGGAUGAUCAGCCACACUGGAACUGAGACACGGUCCAGACUCCUACGGGAGGCAGCAGUGGGGAAUAUUGGACAAUGGGAGCAAGCCUGAUCCAGCCAUACCGCGUGGGUGAAGAAGGCCUUCGGGUUGUAAAGCCCUUUUGUUGGGAAAGAAAAGCAGCAGGUUAAUACCCCGCUGUCCUGACGGUACCCAAAGAAUAAGCACCGGCUAACUUCGU